rnacentral:rRNA from 1 species
UACGAAGGGGGCUAGCGUUGCUCGGAAUUACUGGGCGUAAAGCGCACGUAGGCGGAUUGUUAAGUCGGGGGUGAAAUCCUGGAGCUCAACUCCAGAACUGCCUCAAAUACUGACGGUCUCGAGGGAGGUAGGGGCGAGCGGAACUGAUGGUGGAGCGGUGAAAUGCGUUGAUAUCAUCAGGAACUCCGGUGGCGAAGGCGGCUCGCUGGACCUCUUCUGACGCUGAGGCGCGAAAGCUAGGGGAGCAAACGGG